rnacentral:tmRNA from 20 species
GGGGCUGAAACGGCUUCGACGUCCUAGUGAAAGUUGGGCUGUGAUGCAGGUCGAGAGUGGACUAUCUCUCGUUAAUCCAGAGUCCAAGCCAAAAGUAACUGCGAACAACAUCGUUCCUUUCGCUCGUAAAGCUGCUGCGGUAGCCUAAGACCUCUAAACAGGUUCGAGCACUCGUUGUCCGACUCCGUUAAGGGCAGCGGGUUAACCCCAACGGAUGCGCUAGACAGUUCUCUCUGGUGGGCUGUUUAGCAAAGACUCGACCAGAGCAUCCUACUGUUCGGGAUAAGGAACAGUCCCCGCCUGAGGGUCAAAAAGGCUAAGCCUGUGAAAGAGCAGUCGAUGAAUAGCUAGGGCGGACACGGGUUCGACUCCCGUCAGCUCCAUUA